GUGUGUGUGUGUGUGUGUGUGUAGCAUGGAACAUCGAAGCGGAAGUACAGCUCCUGCUCCACCAUCUUCCUCGAUGACAACACAGUCAGCCAGCCCAACCUCAAAUACACCAUCAAAUGUGUAGCAGUGGCGAUCUACUACCAUAUAAAAAACAGGGACACAGAAGGAGCGAUGCUGCUGGAUAUAUUUGACGAGAAGCUGCACCCUCUCUCAAAAACAGAGGUUCCCCCGGACUAUGACCAGAUCGACACGGAGCAGAAACAGAUCUACCGAUUUGUCCGGACGCUGUUCAGUGCCGCUCAGCUCACUGCAGAGUGUGCCAUCGUCACUCUGGUGAGGUCUUUCACCUCCUUUAUCCUCCUAUAGAGGGGUGAAGGGAUCAAGUACUUUUGAAGGUCGACCCAAAAGGUCUUCCUACACAAAAAGCCAAUAGGAUUUUUCAGAAGAAAAAAAACGUUUAUGAUACUUACAUGUUUUCUCCACAGAUUAAAGCCACUUUUCCAAUAUUUGAAGCGUAACUGCAAUCUCCAGAGAUAAGAAGCUAACGUUAGGCUAUAAAGGAACUACAGCCCGGUCACAUGACUUC